rnacentral:rRNA from 1 species
CACGUAGUUAGCCGGGGCUUCUUAGUCAGGUACCGUCAUUUUCUUCCCUGCUGAUAGAGCUUUACAUACCGAAAUACUUCUUCACUCACGCGGCGUCGCUGCAUCAGGGUUUCCCCCAUUGUGCAAUAUUCCCCACUGCUGCCUCCCGUAGGAGUUUGGGCCGUGUCUCAGUCCCAAUGUGGCCGUUCACCCUCUCAGGCCGGCUACUGAUCGUCGCCUUGGUAGGCCGUUACCCCACCAACCAGCUAAUCAGACGCGGGCUCAUCUUAUACUACCGGAGUUUUUCACACAGAAACAUGCGUUCCCGUGCGCUUAUGCGGUAUUAGCAGUCAUUUCUAACUGUUAUCCCCCUGUAUAAGGCAGAUUACCCACGUGUUACUCACCCGUCCGCCGCUAAGUCAAUUUCGAUUCCAUCCGAAAACUUCCUCAAAAUCGCUUCGCUCGACUUGCAUGUGUUAGGCACGCCGCCAGCGUUCAUCCUGAGCCAGGAUCAAACUCU